rnacentral:lncRNA from 1 species
ACAUAGGGGUAAAAUGCAGAUUUUUGUAUAUAUCUCUGAAACUAAACCAUUUGGAGCAAAUCAGACAGGGGGCAGUUGAUGGUUUUCUCAGAGCAUGGGUCCUGUGUAAUUUCGAGGAGAAGAUUUUUUAAAAGUUAACGGACAUUUAAUAUGGACGACAGACAACAAGUGCUGCCCAUUGGACCAAGAUCGUUUUUAACCCUUAAAG